GAAUCGAUAGCUCAGUGGCAGAGCGGUGGGGCGUUGGCCCAUGCGGCCAGAAUUCGAGCCCCGGUCGAUACA